rnacentral:rRNA from 1 species
AAUAGAUACCUAGGUAGUCCAUGCCGUAAACGUUGGGCGCUAGAUGUGGGGACCAUUCCACGGUUUCCGUGUCGCAGCUAACGCAUUAAGCGCCCCGCCUGGGGAGUACGGCCGCAAGGCUAAAACUCAAAGGAAUUGACGGGGACCCGCACAAGCGGCGGAGCAUGCGGAUUAAUUCGAUGCAACGCGAAGAACCUUACCAAGGCUUGACAUAUACGAGAACGCUGCAGAAAUGUAGAACUCUUUGGACACUCGUAUACAGGUGGUGCAUGGUUGUCGUCAGCUCGUGUCGUGAGAUGUUGGGUUAAGUCCCGCAACGAGCGCAACCCUCGUUCUAUGUUGCCAGCACGUAAUGGUGGGAACUCAUAGGAGACUGCCGGGGUCAACUCGGAGGAAGGUGGGGAUGACGUCAAAUCAUCAUGCCCCUUAUGUCUUGGGCUUCACGCAUGCUACAAUGGCCGGUACAAAGGGCUGCAAUACCGUAAGGUGGAGCGAAUCCCAAAAAGCCGGUCUCAGUUCGGA